rnacentral:rRNA from 1 species
GCUACGGGGGGCAGCAGUGAGGAAUAGUGGUCAAUGGCCGGAAGGCUGAACCAGCCAAGCCGCGUGAAGGACGAAGGUGCCAAGCAUUGUAAACUUCUUUUGUCAAGGGACAAAAUCAGGCUCGAGAGCCUGACCGAGGGUACUUGAAGAAAAAGCAUCGGUUAACUCCGUGCCAGCAGCCGCGGUAAUACGGAGGAUGCGUGCGUUAUCCGGAUUUAUUGGGUUUAAAGGGUGCGUAGGCGGACUGGUAAGUCCGCGGUAAAAGCCCGGGGCUCAGCCCCGGCGCGCCGUUGAAACUGGCUGUCUUGAGCUGUCGAGAGGUAUGCGGAAUGCGCCGUGUAGCCGUGCAAUGCUUAGAU